AGGUCAUGUUGUGGACAAUUCCUUAACAAACCUUUGUAGUAUUCCCAUGCCUCAUAAAGUGACUCACCCGGAUUAUGCUCAAAAUUGGCUAUUACCUUCUUGAGUUU